rnacentral:rRNA from 1 species
UGAGGAAUAUUGGUCAAUGGACGAGAGUCUGAACCAGCCAAGUAGCGUGCAGGAUGACGGCCCUAUGGGUUGUAAACUGAUUUUGUUUGGGAAUAAUCGACAUUACGUGUAAUGUUUUGCAUGUACCAUUCGAAUAAGGACCGGCUAAUUUCGUGCCAGCAGCCGCGGUAAUCCGGAAGGUCCAGGCGUUACCCGGAUUUAUUGGGUUUAAAGGGAGUGUAGGCGGUUGGUUAAGCGUGUUGUGAAAUGUAGAUGCUCAACAUCUGACUUGCAGCGCGAACUGGCUGACUUGAGUACACACAACGUAGGCGGAAUUCAUGGUGUAGCGGUGAAAUGCUUAGAUAUCAUGAAGAACUCCGAUUGCGAAGGCAGCUUACGGGAGUGUUACUGACGCUUAAGCUCGAAGGUGCGGGUAUCGAACAGG